AGCUAAGCCUUAAUAUCCAAUGGCCUCAUUUCUAAUCCAGUUCAAAUAUAUUUCACCAAGGCAAGGAUUCCUGUUUGUUCUGGUUGCCUUUGCUCAAUGACUUCUAGAUUUGGGUGCGCAUCCACACGAACGGCCAGAACUUCUAUCCUCCUCCUUCCCCUUGUCUCCCCUACCCUGGUGUUCUUCUCUAUUCUAAUUCAUGCCCUUAUUAGGAUUUCCCUGGACAAUAAUAGCAAUUUCUUACCUUAUCUCCCUGCCUCUGGCUCCUGCUCUCUCCAACCUACUUCACCAUCUUCCAAAAACAGAUUUCCAGCCUUGUCAUUUUCAUUUGAAUAUUUCUGAAGAUUUUCAAAAAGCUUCAGUGUUCUGACACUUAUCUACUACAUGGGAAUCACUUGGGAGCUGAUUAAAAAUAUAGAUCUUCAAGACCUCCCCACUCAGGGAAUCUGAGUCUCUGGGCAGUGAGUCUUGGGGGAUCUGUGCCUCACAGAGGGUCUCCAGGAGAGUCUUCUGAGCGGUGAAGUUGGGCACCUGUGGGCCUAGAGGAGAAACCCACACUCCUUAGGCUGGCAUCAGGACUCUUUGCAAUCUGGCAGCUGAUUACCAUGAAAAGAAAAUGCUGCCAUGUCGCUGAUUUAGGCCUCUAUGAAGUCUUAGUGACAGUUUUUGCAAAUUGUAUUAGUUUUCUUUGGACACCUCAGCAACAUUUUGGACCCAUGUCACUCUCCUCAUCCUUACUCAUUGUGUCCACCUUCUCACUCUUAUCGGAGGACCUUCCUUCCACUUUCCCAGGAACAGAGGGAUCAAUGGUGUGACCUCCUGAGCCUCCUCCUCCCCCUCCCCCAUUCUGUCCUCUCUCCAGGACAAAGGUCCUUGUUUAGUGCAAGGCUCACUCAUGUUUUUUGGUCUCCUUUAUAGGACUUCUCACUUGGCCAAAUUAAUACAGGAGUUAUUAAGAGAUUAUUUUUAGGCAGCUAGAAAGGGUAGACAUUCUUGGUGGAAUUAUCCUUUAAUAAAAAGCAGCCCCAAAUCACUUUUUCUCUAACAGAAAGCAGCCUGAAAACUCAGGCAUAGAUAUACAAACUAGGAGCUUUUAUAUGUAAACGGUGGCAGCUGUACCUGGAAGCCUGGUAAUUCAGUAUGGCAGUUCCCACCCUCUUUUCCUUGUCUCCACAUUUACAGGUGUCAUGGCAGCCUCCAGGUUAAAGCACGUGUACAGUUAUCAGCGGUGCCACCAGGUGGAGGCUACAUUUGUAUGAUAAAAAAACUAGAGUGGGAGGGCCAGUCUUUUUGCAGGUUAUGUAAAUGGCACACCUGAUCAAACCAAUCCCCUGAGCCCUAUGUAAAUCAAUCACUGGCUCCUCAAGCCUCUGUACAAAACCGAUUGCGCUCUACCACAAACUGGAGGCCUUCUCUUGGGUGACCUUCUCAGCAUUAGGAAGCUUUUUUUCUCUCUCUUCUUUUCCAUGAAACUUUCUGCUCCUAAACCCACUCCCUGUGUUUUUCCAUGUUGUGAAUUAUUUUUCGGCCAUGACAAAUAACCAGGGUAUAUACUGCAGACAAUGGAGCUGUUUCAUUUUGGGAGCUCAUCCGGGAUCUGAAUCAGAAUGGAAGAUAGAAACAUCAAAGUGAUGGGUAACAGACCAGCUUCAGCUUGCACCCCUCUGGAAUGCACUCUGAAACACUGGACCUCCUUUAACCUCAGGACUUGGGAGAGAAAAGUGACUCAUUUUCUUUUGCACAAGGGAAUGGCAUUUUUACUAAACCUUUGCAAACAUUGUAAGAUCAAUCCAGCUUUUUAAAUAGGCAUAUCAGGCAGGCCUAUAGAAAGUAAUCCCUCACAAUUAGAAAGGCAAUUUCCAAGGGAACCAUCUGAGAAUUCCCCUUGUUUGGGGUCACCGCAAGUUCCGUUCUCAUUACAGAACCUUAGGCAAGCAAAGGAAGACUUAUGCCAAUUUUCUGACAAUCUCAAUAGGCAUAUAGAAGCUUUCCAGAAUUUAACUGAGGCAUUUCACCUUACAUGGAAGGAUGUUACACUGCUCCUAAACCAAACUCUAAACACAGCUGAAAAGCAGGCAGCUCUUCAGGAAGCAGAUAAGGAAAGGAUAAAGCUUAUCAGUGUGCUCAGAGAUUGUUUUCAGACAGAAAACCUCAAAGUUGGUUAAGCAUGUAACCUUUCUAGCUCACAUCCAACAGGAAUUGAUACAACUAGCAAAAGCCCAACCUCAGGAAACUGGACUACCUUUACUUAGCAAGAAAAUUUGGUAGCAGUGAAAACUCAUCUCUCUCUCCCUCCUUCCCUAAGCCAAGCUGGGAAGGGCUCUACAUAGUUCUUCUUUCAACCCCCUCAGCAGUAAAAGCUACAGGUAUCAAUUUCUGAAUACACCACACUCAAGUCAAAUCCUGAAGAGCUGAGGGAGCAACCCCUGACAGCCCAGAUGAAUGUCCUGAAUAUCAGUGUGGAGAAAUAGAAGAUCUUAAGUCGAAAAUCAUAAAAGGUAAGUAAAUGAGUGAGGGCUACUCAUCUUACUCAGUCCCAUUCCUGCCUCACCAGUAACCCUUUAUCAUUUCUGCUUUUCCUCUCAAAAUUUACUGCCAAAUAUUAGAACUUCUUUUUAAUGCAUGUUUGUAGGGAGAUUUUAAUUAUACACAGGACUGCAUUUGUAACUCUGUAAAUCCUCAAAAAGAAAUGUUAUAUCUUGGCAAGUGAAGUUUUAAAAGGAAAUUAUUUACUACACCACUUUUGUGGGAAUUGUUAUAAUCAUGCUAUUAUUUGCAAUAGAACUGUACACUGUGGCACCCACAAGGUGGAAUUCUGGUUGUCAAAUUUGAAUUGCUGUAAUGUUUUGCCUAAUUACCAUCUUUAUGACAGGAUUAAUAAUUGCAGGAAGGAUUUCAUCAAGUUUGCUUUGCUUAUAGCAGGAAUAAUAGUUACAGGCAAGAAGUAAGGAUGAAAGUUUUACUAUCACUAAGUUGGUUGGAACUUUUUAUUGAAGAUUUGUAAUAUGGUGCACUCUAAGCUAUGGAAAGAAGGUUAUGAAGGAAGAUUUAUAUAAGAAAGGAUCUCGGAUGGUAAAUUAUUGUCCUAAAAGGAAAUGAUUAGUUAUUUAAAGGAACUGGUUGUUUAAAGGAAAGAUGUUUAAGACAAAUCAGAAAGUUGGAGUAUGUUGUAAGAGGGUCUGUGAAAGUCAAGAAGUAAUUUAAUAAUUAAAGGAAAGGAACUGCCAAGAUUAACACUAAAGUUAUUUUAGCCACUUAAUAAUGUAUUUCUCCCAAUUAUACCACAAGUUAUAUAAAAAAAAGACCUAAACCUAAAAUUAUCCCCUAAUAGCAAGUCAAGGGGGAAAUAAUACGUUUUUCUCAAAGGAAAUGUUAACUUUUAUGUAAAAGCUUCUGGUAAUGUACAGCGACAUCUAGUGGAGACAAAUCAGUAUUACAAUUCAUUGGUGGAACUAUCAGGUAUCAAACUCUAUUGUAGUUUUGGUCUGUAGGACCCCUACUAAUAGUGAUAAUCUUAAUACUCAUAUGCUAACCCUGUAUUUUAAACCUUCUUGUAAAAUUUAUCUCUUUUCACCUAGAGGUAAUCAAACUCCAAAUGGUGCUGCAAACAGAGCUAGCCACACGUGGACAUGCCAUUCUUCAAAGAAGCCUUAGAUCAACCUCAGCAGAAGCCCCAACUGCAGUCCGCCCACACGACACCCUCUUUCAGCAGGAAAUAGCCAGAAAGAAUCAUUGGUCCAACACCCCCUAACAGCAGUUAUGAUUACGUCUCCUGAGGGAGGAAACAAUACAGGAGUUAUUAAAAAAUUAUUUUUAGGCAGCUAGAAAGGAUAAAAGUUCUCAGUGGAAUUUUCAUUUCAUAAAAAGCAGCCCCCAAACA